rnacentral:rRNA from 1 species
UUAAGCGACUAAGCGUACACGGUGGAUGCCCUGGCAGUCAGAGGCGAUGAAGGACGUGCUAAUCUGCGAAAAGCGUCGGUAAGGUGAUAUGAACCGUUAUAACCGGCGAUGUCCGAAUGGGGAAACCCAGUGCAAUUCGUUGCACUAUCGUUAACUGAAUACAUAGGUUAACGAGGCGAACCGGGGGAACUGAAACAUCUAAGUACCCCGAGGAAAAGAAAUCAACCGAGAUUCCCCCAGUAGCGGCGAGCGAACGGGGAGCAGCCCAGAGUCUGAAUCAGCUUGUGUGUUAGUGGAACGGUCUGGAAAGUCCGACGGUACAGGGUGAUAGUCCCGUACACCAAAAUGCACAGGCUGUGAACUCGAAGAGUAGGGCGGGACACGUGGUAUCCUGUCUGAAUAUGGGGGGACCAUCCUCCAAGGCUAAAUACUCCUGACUGACCGAUAGUGAACCAGUACCGUGAGGGAAAGGCGAAAAGAACCCCGGCGAGGGGAGUGAAAAAGAACCUGAAACCGUGUACGUACAAGCAGUGGGAGCACCUUCGGGUGUGACUGCGUACCUUUUGUAUAAUGGGUCAGCGACUUAUAUUCUGUAGCAAGGUUAACCGUAUAGGGGAGCCGCAGGGAAACCGAGUCUUAACUGGGCGUUAAGUUGCAGGGUAUAGACCCGAAACCCGGUGAUCUAGCCAUGGGCAGGUUGAAGGUUGGGUAACACUAACUGGAGGACCGAACCGACUAAUGUUGAAAAAUUAGCGGAUGACUUGUGGCUGGGGGUGAAAGGCCAAUCAAACCGGGAGAUAGCUGGUUCUCCCCGAAAGCUAUUUAGGUAGCGCCUCGUGAACUCAUCUUCGGGGGUAGAGCACUGUUUCGGCUAGGGGGUCAUCCCGACUUACCAACCCGAUGCAAACUACGAAUACCGAAGAAUGUUAUCACGGGAGACACACGGCGGGUGCUAACGUCCGUCGUGAAGAGGGAAACAACCCAGACCGCCAGCUAAGGUCCCAAAGUCAUGGUUAAGUGGGAAACGAUGUGGGAAGGCACAGACAGCCAGGAUGUUGGCUUAGAAGCAGCCAUCAUUUAAAGAAAGCGUAAUAGCUCACUGGUCGAGUCGGCCUGCGCGGAAGAUGUAACGGGGCUAAACCAUGCACCGAAGCUGCGGCAGCGACACUAUGUGUUGUUGGGUAGGGGAGCGUUCUGUAAGCCUGCGAAGGUGUGCUGUGAGGCAUGCUGGAGGUAUCAGAAGUGCGAAUGCUGACAUAAGUAACGAUAAAGCGGGUGAAAAGCCCGCUCGCCGGAAGACCAAGGGUUCCUGUCCAACGUUAAUCGGGGCAGGGUGAGUCGACCCCUAAGGCGAGGCCGAAAGGCGUAGUCGAUGGGAAACAGGUUAAUAUUCCUGUACUUGGUGUUACUGCGAAGGGGGGACGGAGAAGGCUAUGUUAGCCGGGCGACGGUUGUCCCGGUUUAAGCAUGUAGGCUGGUUAUCCAGGCAAAUCCGGAUAAUCAAGGCUGAGGUGUGAUGACGAGGCACUACGGUGCUGAAGUAAUAAAUGCCCUGCUUCCAGGAAAAGCCUCUAAGCAUCAGGUAACAUCAAAUCGUACCCCAAACCGACACAGGUGGUCAGGUAGAGAAUACCAAGGCGCUUGAGAGAACUCGGGUGAAGGAACUAGGCAAAAUGGUGCCGUAACUUCGGGAGAAGGCACGCUGGUGUGUAGGUGAAGCCCCUGCGGGUGGAGCUGAGACCAGUCGAAGAUACCAGCUGGCUGCAACUGUUUAUUAAAAACACAGCACUGUGCAAACACGAAAGUGGACGUAUACGGUGUGACGCCUGCCCGGUGCCGGAAGGUUAAUUGAUGGGGUUAUCCGUAAGGAGAAGCUCUUGAUCGAAGCCCCGGUAAACGGCGGCCGUAACUAUAACGGUCCUAAGGUAGCGAAAUUCCUUGUCGGGUAAGUUCCGACCUGCACGAAUGGCGUAAUGAUGGCCAGGCUGUCUCCACCCGAGACUCAGUGAAAUUGAACUCGCUGUGAAGAUGCAGUGUACCCGCGGCAAGACGGAAAGACCCCGUGAACCUUUACUAUAGCUUGACACUGAACAUUGAGCCUUGAUGUGUAGGAUAGGUGGGAGGCUUUGAAGCGUGGACGCCAGUCUGCGUGGAGCCAACCUUGAAAUACCACCCUUUAAUGUUUGAUGUUCUAACGUUGGCCCCUGACCGGGGUUGCGGACAGUGUCUGGUGGGUAGUUUGACUGGGGCGGUCUCCUCCCAAAGCGUAACGGAGGAGCACGAAGGUUAGCUAAUCCUGGUCGGACAUCAGGAGGUUAGUGCAAUGGCAUAAGCUAGCUUGACUGCGAGCGUGACGGCGCGAGCAGGUGCGAAAGCAGGUCAUAGUGAUCCGGUGGUUCUGAAUGGAAGGGCCAUCGCUCAACGGAUAAAAGGUACUCCGGGGAUAACAGGCUGAUACCGCCCAAGAGUUCAUAUCGACGGCGGUGUUUGGCACCUCGAUGUCGGCUCAUCACAUCCUGGGGCUGAAGUAGGUCCCAAGGGUAUGGCUGUUCGCCAUUUAAAGUGGUACGCGAGCUGGGUUUAGAACGUCGUGAGACAGUUCGGUCCCUAUCUGCCGUGGGCGCUGGAGAAUUGAGGGGGGCUGCUCCUAGUACGAGAGGACCGGAGUGGACGCAUCACUGGUGUUCGGGUUGUCAUGCCAAUGGCACUGCCCGGUAGCUAAAUGCGGAAGAGAUAAGUGCUGAAAGCAUCUAAGCACGAAACUUGCCCCGAGAUGAGUUCUCCCUGAGACUUUAAGUCUCCUGAAGGAACGUUGAAGACGACGACGUUGAUAGGCCGGGUGUGUAAGCGCAGCGAUGCGUUGAGCUAACCGGUACUAAUGAACCGUGAGGCUUAACCUU